rnacentral:rRNA from 1 species
GACGAACGCUGGCGGCGUGCUUAACACAUGCAAGUCGAACGGAACGUCCCUGCUUGCAGGCUACUCGAUUGGCGAACGGGUGAGUAACACGUUUGUGAUCUGCCCUGCACUUCGGGAUAAGCCCUUGAACCUGGUACUAUUACCGGAUAGGAGCCAUAUCUAGUUUGAUGGUUGGAACGUUUUUUCGGUUUAGUAUUAGCUUGCGGCCGUUCAGCUUGUUGGUGGGGUAAUGGCAUAACAAGGCGGCUGCGCGUAGCCGGCCGUAGGGGGUGGACAGCAGCAUUGGGACUGAGAUACGGCCAAGACCCCUACGGGAGGGAGAAGUGGGGAAGAGUGCAAAAUGGGCGCAAGCCUGAUGCAGGGACACCGAGUGGGGGAUGACGGCCUUCGGGUUGGAAACUCAUUUCGCUAGGGACGAAGCUGUUUGUGACGGUACCUAGAGAAGAAGCACCGGCUAACUACGUG